rnacentral:rRNA from 1 species
GACGGAGGAUGCGAGCGUUAAUCGGAAUUACUGGGCGUAAAGCGUGCGCAGGCGGUUUGGUAAGACAGAUGUGAAAUUCCCGGGCUUAACCUGGGAACUGCAUUUGUGACUGCCAGGCUAGAGUGCGGCAGAGGGGAGUGGAAUUCCGCGUGUAGCAGUGAAAUGCGUAGAUAUGCGGAGGAACACCGAUGGCGAAGGCAACUCCCUGGGCCUGCACUGACGCUCAUGCACGAAAGCGUGGGGAGCAAACAGG